UGUUAGACCUCACAGCGAGAAACCGCUCCAAAAGAUUUGCUUUCAACCAGGCAAUAUAAGAUAUCUGAUUACCCAGAAGGGGCGGACAGCAAAAGCUUGAGGUGAUUUGUGAAGCUCUUGUCACUGAAACAAUGAAUCGGACAACUCCAAUUGUGUUCAUGUUGAACAGAAAGGUUUGCCAUAAAUUCCACAGAGUGGUGUCGCAAAAUCUCAAGGAAGGCAGGUGACAUUGGGCAGAAGUUGCAUGAGGUUUUGGAGCAAAGCGCUUGAUUCUUCAUGGACUGCCACCGUUGUGGGAUGUUCCUGCUGCUUCUUAAGACCAGCAAUGGGGAGUUAAGUAUCUUACCCAAGACCAUAUCAAUGGGGUCAGGCAGCGUGGGGCUUGGACCUGUAACCUUACAGUUGCUGAACUAGAACCUUCACUACCUGUGGCACCAUCGCCCUAGGACCUGUUCCGAAUUUCGACAAACCAGCCAUCCAGAGGGUCCACCACUGAACUUUCCACAGUGGAAAUCAUUUCAGAAGGGACAGUAGUAUUCAUGGAUGAGCAUGCAUUAUUUUAGAUUGAAAUGUUGUGUCCAGUGAUUCUUGAACAACUGAUAUGGACUGGCACAUCACAGUGAUGAAGUACCAAUGAAUUUAUAUUCUUAUUCUUUACACAUACUUUUAUUGCAGGAUACAUAUAGGCUGUCAUAGAUUGCAUUCUUGCAUUUUUCUUGUCAGAUACAUUUGUUGUUAAUGAACACAAGAAAAUGUGCAAUUGGUUUACGUGAAAUUGUUGCCAUGGAAUAAUGAAGAAAAAAAUAAAUUGGUUAAUUUAAUGAA